rnacentral:rRNA from 1 species
UACAGAGGUCUCAAGCGUUGUUCGGAUUCAUUGGGCGUAAAGGGCGCGUAGGCGGCAAGGCAAGUCGGGUGUGAAAGCUUGGGGCUUAACCCCGAAAGGGCACUCGAAACUGCCCUGCUAGAGGGCCGGAGAGGAGAUCGGAAUUCACGGUGUAGCAGUGAAAUGCGUAGAGCUCGUGAGGAAGACCGGUGGCGAAGGCGGAUCUCUGGGCCUUACCUGACGCUGAGGCGCGAAAGCUAGGGGAGCAAACGGG